rnacentral:rRNA from 1 species
AGUCGAUGGGAAACAGGUUAAUAUUCCUGUACUUGGUGUUACUGCGAAGGGGGGACGGAGAAGGCUAUGUUGGCCGGGCGACGGUUGUCCCGGUUUAAGCGUGUAGGCUGGUUUUCCAGGCAAAUCCGGAAAAUCAAGGCUGAGGCGUGAUGACGAGGCACUACGGUGCUGAAGCAACAAAUGCCCUGCUUCCAGGAAAAGCCUCUAAGCAUCAGGUAACAUCAAAUCGUACCCCAAACCGACACAGGUGGUCAGGUAGAGAAUACCAAGGCGCUUGAGAGAACUCGGGUGAAGGAACUAGGCAAAAUGGUGCCGUAACUUCGGGAGAAGGCACGCUGAUAUGUAGGUGAAGUCCCUUGCGGAUGGAGCUGAAAUCAGUCGAAGAUACCAGCUGGCUGCAACUGUUUAUUAAAAACACAGCACUGUGCAAACACGAAAGUGGACGUAUACGGUGUGACGCCUGCCCGGUGCCGGAAGGUUAAUUGAUGGGGUCAGCGCAAGCGAAGCUCUUGAUCGAAGCCCCGGUAAACGGCGGCCGUAACUAUAACGGUCCUAAGGUAGCGAAAUUCCUUGUCGGGUAAGUUCCGACCUGCACGAAUGGCGUAAUGAUGGCCAGGCUGUCUCCACCCGAGACUCAGUGAAAUUGAACUCGCUGUGAAGAUGCAGUGUACCCGCGGCAAGACGGAAAGACCCCGUGAACCUUUACUAUAGCUUGACACUGAACAUUGAGCCUUGAUGUGUAGGAUAGGUGGGAGGCUUUGAAGUGUGGACGCCAGUCUGCAUGGAGCCGGCCUUGAAAUACCACCCUUUAAUGUUUGAUGUUCUAACGUGGACCCGUGAUCCGGGUUGCGGACAGUGUCUGGUGGGUAGUUUGACUGGGGCGGUCUCCUCCUAAAGAGUAACGGAGGAGCACGAAGGUUGGCUAAUCCUGGUCGGACAUCAGGAGGUUAGUGCAAUGGCAUAAGCCAGCUUGACUGCGAGCGUGACGGCGCGAGCAGGUGCGAAAGCAGGUCAUAGUGAUCCGGUGGUUCUGAAUGGAAGGGCCAUCGCUCAACGGAUAAAAGGUACUCCGGGGAUAACAGGCUGAUACCGCCCAAGAGUUCAUAUCGACGGCGGUGUUUGGCACCUCGAUGUCGGCUCAUCACAUCCUGGGGCUGAAGUAGGUCCCAAGGGUAUGGCUGUUCGCCAUUUAAAGUGGUACGCGAGCUGGGUUUAGAACGUCGUGAGACAGUUCGGUCCCUAUCUGCCGUGGGCGCUGGAGAACUGAGGGGGGCUGCUCCUAGUACGAGAGGACCGGAGUGGACGCAUCACUGGUGUUCGGGUUGUCAUGCCAAUGGCACUGCCCGGUAGCUAAAUGCGGAAGAGAUAAGUGCUGAAAGCAUCUAAGCACGAAACUUGCCCCGAGAUGAGUUCUCCCUGACCCUUUAAGGGUCCUGAAGGAACGUUGAAGACGACGACGUUGAUAGGCCGGGUGUGUAAGCGCAGCGAUGCGUUGAGCUAACCGGUACUAAUGAACCGUGAG